CCGGGACUUCCCCGCCGGCCAUCUGGCGUCGGGACUCUACACCUUGGGGAGUCAACUGACGGUCACCUCCGGCAACCCCACCCGUCUGCAGUGCGCCGUCCGGCACCCGGCCUCCGGCUACAGUCGGACCACCGAUGUCCCAGUUUCCGUCGCCCAGGCCCCCACCGUUGGUUUCUUCCACGCUUGCGACAUGUCCUCGGUCCAGCUCGUUUGUCUCGUCAACCACUUCUCCCCGGCCAAGGUGACGGUGGAGUGGUUGGUCGAUGGCUUCCCGGUCUACCCCACCCCUCAGUCCGAGCCCGUGGAACCCGAGGCCACCGGUAGGACCUUCCGGACCAGCUCUCACCUCAACGUCUCCUUGGAGGAGUGGCAGCAGAAGAGCUACAGCUGCAAGGUCACCCACCCCGCGUCCAGCAGCACGCAGGAGGUCGUCGGCCACAAGUGCUUGA